rnacentral:rRNA from 1 species
UCUGGUUGAUCCUGCCUGAACUGAUGUGUUUAUUUCAAAGAUUAAGCCAUGCAUGUAUAAGUUUAAUCGUUUAUCGAGAAACCGCGAACGGCUCAUUACAAUGGCCAUUAUUUACUUGAUCUUGAUUGUCUAAAUGGAUAACUGUGGAAAAGCUAGAGCUAAUACAUGCACUAAAGCUUUGUCCUUACGGAAAAGCGCAUUUAUUAGAACAAAACCACGCGGCUUCGGCUGCUUCUUGUUGACUCAGAAUAACUUAGCUGACCGCAUGGCCUUGUGCCGGCGGCGUGUCUUUCAAGCGUCCACUUUAUCAACUUGACGGGAGCAUAAUCGACUCCCGUGGUGGUGACGGAUAACGGAGGAUCAGGGUUCGACUCCGGAGAAGGGGCCUGAGAAAUGGCCACUACGUCUAAGGAUGGCAGCAGGCGCGCAAAUUACCCACUCUCGGCUCGAGGAGGUAGUGACGAGAAAUAACGAGACUGUUCUCUUUGAGGCCGGUCAUCGGAAUGGGUACAAUUUAAACCCUUUAACGAGUAUCAAGCAGAGGGUAAGUCUGGUGCCAGCAGCCGCGGUAAUUCCAGCUCUGCAAAUACAUAGAAUUAUUGCUGCGGUUAGAAAGCUCAUAGUUGGAUUCGUAUCGAUACCUUGGAACCCUUCGGGUGUCUCUAGGUGUUAUCGAUUUAUCGUAAUGUUCGGUUUUGAGUCCUUAACAGGAUUCUUAACAGGCAUUGCAAGUUUACUUUGAACAAAUCAGAGUGCUUCAAACAGGCGUUUUCGCUUGAAUGAUCGUGCAUGGAAUAAUAGAAAAUGAUUUCGGUUCAGUUUUAUUGGUUUUACGGACUGAGAUAAUGGUUAACAGAGACAAACGGGGGCAUUUGUAUGGUCCCGUGAGAGGUGAAAUUCUUGGACCGUGGCCAGACAAACUACAGCGAAAGCAUUUGCCAAGAAUGUUUUUAUUAAUCAAGAACGAAAGUCAGAGGUUCGAAGGCGAUCAGAUACCGCCCUAGUUCUGACCGUAAACGAUGCCAACUAGCGAUCCGCCGAUGGAAAUUAUAUUGCCUUGGUGGGGAGCUUCCCGGAAACGAAAGUCUUCCGGUUCCGGGGGAAGUAUGGUUGCAAAGCUGAAACUUAAAGGAAUUGACGGAAGGGCACCACCAGGAGUGGAGCCUGCGGCUUAAUUUGACUCAACAAGGGGAAACUCACCCGGCCCGGACACUGUGAGGAUUGACAGAUUGAUAGCUUUUUCAUGAUUCAGUGGUUCAGUGCAUGAUUCAGUGCAUUUUCAUGAUUCAGUGCAUGGCCGUUCUUAGUUCGUGGAGUGAUUUGUCUGGUUUAUUCCGAUAACGAGCGAGACUCUAACCUACUAAAUAGUUGGUACAUACUCUUAGUGUAUACAGCUUCUUAGAGGGAUUUGCGGCGUUCAGCCGAAAGAAAUUGAGCAAUAACAGGUCUGUGAUGCCCUUAGAUGUCCGGGGCUGCACGCGCGCUACACUGGCAAAAUCAACGUGCUUGUCCUACCCUGAAAGGGGCGGGUAAACCAUUGAAAAUUUGCCGUGAUUGGGAUCGGAAAUUGCAAUUAUUUUCCGUGAACGAGGAAUUCCAAGUAAGUGCGAGUCAUCAGCUCGCGUUGAUUACGUCCCUGCCCUUUGUACACACCGCCCGUCGCUGCCCGGGACUGAGCCAUUUCGAGAAAUUUGGGGACCGUUGAUUUAAUUUUUCUAAAUUACUUUGAUGGAAACCAAUUUAAUCGCAGUGGCUUGAACCGGGCAAAAGUCGUAACAAGGUAGCUGUAGGUGAACCUGCUGCUG